CCACACCCACUGAAAUGUUAAUAUAUAUCACCUACACGUAUUUAUAAAGGUUAUUACGACAUGAAAUGUCGUUGAAAGUGGUGGAAUAAGCGUUAUCAAACCGCCAUGUCAGGCAGGUUGUUGCACUCAAGACAGGUUAGCUUGAAGGCGCCGCCAUUUUGUCUCAGUGUGAAACCGGAAUGAAAACUACAUAAACAAGGAAAGUCCCGGGUUUUUUUUUUGGUUAUAACAUGUCGCUUACUUUAAAAAAAAUACACACAUUGAAGGAUUUUGGGUGUUGGAGCAUGUCGGCGGUCGUCUGAGAUGCUUCCCUCUUUGCAGAUGUUGCAGAAGUUCAGCCGCCAUCAGCUCAGCAAACGAUCAUCUAUGGAUCUGGACACUCACACGUCGCUGCUCUUGCUCAUGGCUCUUCUCGCCAAGACUUCCGGCGCCUGCCACUUCCUCAUCUCCAUGACGUCCACCUCCCCCAGUGAACCGGCCCGCGCUGUCCUCCGGUAUACGGAGCCCAGACCCCACAGCUUCACCGUCAGGUCUCCACCAACCAGGACGCUGCUAGCCCCGACGUUGCCAUGAACGUAGCCUUUACUGUGCAGGUAAUCCUACAGUGUGAUGAAGAGGAAGAUGAGGGCAGUUUAUGUGUGUUCAUAUGAGGUCCUGAAACUGAAAUGGAUGCAGAUUUUAACUACUUAAUAAAAGGCUCACCAAAUGAAAUCUU